rnacentral:rRNA from 1 species
UCAGGAGAGGGGAGGGGAGGGAGAGAAAACGCGCGACCGGGGACGGCAAAGCCUGGGCGGUGCGAGGCCAGGGGGCGAGGCGGCGGCGGCGGCAGGCAGGGGCAGCGGGGUGGAGGAGGCGGGGCAGUCUCCUUCGACGCCUGACCGUACUGGAUCCCCCCGGUACCUUCUCCGUCUGUUCCUGGCGUUAAGGACGUUCGCGGACGCCCGCCACCCGCCGCCGCCGCUGAGCCGCCUACGCACCGCCUCAAAGGCCCACCGCGCGCGCCGCCGCCCGCCGUUCCUGGCCGUGUCGUUCCACCACUGGAGCGCGCCGGAGGCGCUGGCGGCGUAGGCCGAGAGCCACGUCUGCCGGUAAGUCAAGAUACUGUAGGUCCUGGCGGACCCACAGCUGGUCGGGUCGUUCCGGUAGCUCACCGAGUAGGUUCGGCGGCGGUGGCGGUAGCUACCAGAGGGCAGCAACCUGACGAGGAAGCGGAAGGGACAGCGGAGGGGUCGUCGUCUUCUGUGGCGCCUCCAGUCGUGGAGCCUCUGGUCGUUCCCGAGGCACGAGAGCGAGCGGUUGCCGGGACGGCUGUUACUGUUACGGCGAGUGGUUCGGUCACGUAUGUUGCCCCCGUCACGGUUACCGUGCAAACGGCCCGAGGACGUGACGAGGUUGCGGCGGCUGUUCGGUUACGUCGUAGUCGUAGUCGUCGUCGUCGGCUGCGAACGGAUGAUGCGGCGGGGCCCAAGCGUGUAGCGCGGGUACAGGAAGCUCUACUAAGGGGUCGAGUGGAAGAGGGUCCUGGUCGUCGUGACGGUGGUGGUGGUGGUGGUGGUGGUACGGAGACAGAGGAAGCUGUCCUCGUGUGAAGUCAGGUUGUGGCAGAGGUGCGGAGUCACCGGGGGCAGGGUCGUGGGCAAGGACUACGUCUCCAAGAGACGACGAGGUCGGCUCGGAAGCGGAUACAAAGGGAAGAAAGAACCUCCGUUGUUGCGACGACGACGCCGACGAGGACGCCGCCGGUUACGCGGCCUCGCCUCCGACGUCGAGACCCUGAAGUUCCUCCUUUCCUUCUGUAUCAAAGAAGAACCCUCUAAGCCGCCACAUGGUUUGAUGGUUCAGUAUACUAGGUAAGUCGUGUCGUUUUGGGUCUUCCUCUCUUCUACGUUCCGUUGCUUCCUCAGCCGCGGUACCUCGGCGCACCUUACGUUAGCGAAACGACCUAGAGGCUUAGAAGAGGCGCGCAGAAUAGUGUUGUCGCGGAACAUGACGGAAGUAACUGACCUGAGCAUUUUUUAAGAACCACGUCAGCAGAUUUUCAGCUUCUCGGUAUGGUUCAAGACAUGGUAUUCGAUUUUUUUUGACGCUAGGCAGAUAGACUCACCUCGUUCUUGAACAAGAGGUUCCGAUUCCAAGUCGAGGUACGCCAGUCUUGGAGGGAUAUACGCCUACUACGACAACAAAAAGACCGAGGAUAGUUUUCCCUGUAACUGUUAGAACGAAGGUAGAACUCUCCAAAACCGCUUCACUGUCCAGAUACGUGGUUGAAAGUCUUUUCGAGGCAACACGGUUAAGCUACAUCAGUAGAAUUAGAACCCGUGUGAGAAGACUCGAACGGACGUUGAGCACGAUGAAAGGGCCACUUCAUAGAACCGAACGGAGAGAGACCAACCGUCGAGUCUUUCAGGGUAUGGCGACCGGCGUCGCCUCCCGCUCGGACGCCCGCGAUAUUUUCUCCCUCGCCCACGCGGCAACCUUUCGUACUAGGAAGUCCGUCGUUUUCCCUCUACUACUCACCAUAGUCGAGCGAUGUUACGCUCUCCCCACAGGCGGGGUUGGUUCGGACAAUGCUGUUACCCCGCGGGGUCACU